rnacentral:rRNA from 1 species
AGUGAAGCGGGAUGAGCUCAAAUUUAAAAUCUGGCUGGUUUACUAGUCCGAAUUGUAGUUUAAAGAAGCGUUUUCGGUGGCAGCCUGGGUAUAAAUCCUUUGGAAUAGGGUAUCAUAGAGGGUGAGAAUCCCGUCUUUGACUCAGUGAAUGCUACUAUGUGAUACGUUUUCAAAGAGUCGAGUUGUUUGGGAAUGCAGCUCAAAAUGGGUGGUAAAUUUCAUCUAAAGCUAAAUAUUGGCGAGAGACCGAUAGCGAACAAGUACCGUGAGGGAAAGAUGAAAAGAACUUUGAAAAGAGAGUUAAACAGUACGUGAAAUUGUUGAAAGGGAAACGUUUGACACCAGUCAUGCGGGUGGAAAAUCAGUCUUUUAGAGUAGGGAGUGGUGGGGGGUUCGGACCGCAAGGCUGGCCUUUAUCUCAUCUCUGCACUAAUGGAUGCACUUUUUCAUUUGCAGGUCAACAUCAGUUUCUUCUGCUGGACAAAACUCCGAGAGAAGGUAGCAGCUUUGGCUGUGUUAUAGCUCUGGAGCGAUACAGUGGAGGGGACUGAGGUUUUCGCAGUGUGUGCUCUCGGGCAAGGUUGAUUAGGUGCUAUGUGAUCGUUCGGUGUACAAUGCAUGCAUUUUGCGCUGUGUCUUUUGCAUACUCGCCUGACUCGACUCUUCCACGCUUAGGAUGUUGACUUAAUGGUUUUAAACGACCCGUCUUGAAACACGGACCAAGGAGUCUAACAUAUAUGCAAGUGUUUGGGUGGCAAACCCAUACGCGUAAUGAAAGUGAACGUAGGUGCGAUCCGCAAGGUGCAGCAUCGACCGAUCUUGAUAUUUUUGGAUAGAUUUGAGUAAGAGCAUAUAUGCUGGGACCCGAAAGAUGGUGAACUAUGCCUGAAUAGGGUGAAGCCAGAGGAAACUCUGGUGGAGGCUCGUAGCGAUUCUGACGUGCAAAUCGAUCGUCAAAUUUGGGUAUAGGGGCGAAAGACUA